rnacentral:lncRNA from 1 species
CGGCAUCGUUUCUCCCAGGACCAUGCAAACUGCACCCCCCCCCCGCCUUUUUUUUAAACAAAACACGGAAACUUGGCAGCCACCUCUCUGAGGUCUGCCCAGCACGUCCCACGCGGUCUUCGUCCAAAUAAUGAGAGAGACAGACGGCACUCUAGGAGCCGUGUCCCAUAAUGAAGCAGUUGUUCAUGGCUCUCACGGGUUGCUUCGGGGACGUGUCUUCCAGUCUCGGAGACGUGAUGAGAGGCAGAGAAGUCUUAUUCCCAUGUGUAAGGCCAUUCCCAGCGGCAAACAUCUGGGGGAGAAGGCGCUCCGCUGGCAAGUUAAGAAGUGGCCGAGGUCAACUCUGGCAUUAGUACCCUUCCUUCUCCGGUAUGAGGAUGCGAAUGCCAGGAUAGCCUGGAGCUGGGGUCUUUCUAGAGAGACGGCGAGGACCCAGAGGGUAAGGACGUCAUUAGAAGGAGUCACGUGGUCAUGAUGCCUCUGGGUCCGAGAGGGCAGGUACUU